AAAUAUGCAAUCUCUGGAGGCAUAAAUACAGGACUUUUAUUUUGACAUUUCUCCACACUGGCGGCGUAAAGAUACUCGAUAUUAGGUGUUUUUUAUUCAUCAUGGGGGCAUGGAAAACUUUAAUGCAACAUAUUUUAUUUUAAAUGUAGGUUCGACUCAUAGCUUAAUGUUCUAAAUACCUUUAUUUUGAAAACCGGAAAAGAAUACGCUGUUUGUCCGCCUUUACCGUAAUGCUGAGAAUACGUGCACAGUUGAAAUUUACGUGCGGCUGGUUUGCAUUGAGCGCAGUAACGUAAACAUGUGACUGAAGCUGUUAUGAUGUAUACAUGUGUGAAAGACCACAUCCUGACCAAAAUGCAGUCAGCGUAACUUGUGACACCUGGACAUCGUACUCGACAGUGACUUCUCACUACAUCGACAACGAGUGGUGCCUCGUGUCUCAUGUGCUACAGACCACGAGGUUCUCACGAGCAGGUCUAAAACCCCCCCCCCACUUCUCGCCCUCUGAUAUGAUGUGCAUCAGGACACAUUGUGUGCAGCAUCAGCGCUGGAUCCUCGCUGUAAGGCCCUACCAUCCCUGUCUGCUAAAGAGCGAGGUGACACCUUCUCCAGCCUGCAGACCGACGCUGCCACUGCUGCACCAAAAUACUGAUGGUAAUGAUGCUGAUGAAGGAGCUGAGGAGAUGGGGGGGAAGCAACUUCACCCAAGAAGCCCAAGAAAUCCAGCACCUUGUCUCUCCUUGGGGCAGUUUACUCACCAACAGUAAAGGAACAUGGACCGAAAACUCCAGCAAUGAGGGCUGAAGAUGAAAUCAGAAGACACAGGGUGGAAAAUCCUGCUGGGCUGAAUGAAAGUCCUCUGAGCUGGUGGAGGUCAAAUGAAAGGGAGCAUCCACUGUUGGCUCGCCUUGCGAAGAUAUACCUUUGUGUCCCAGGGACCAGUGUUGCGUCAGAGCGGGUGUUUUCAACUGCGGGUGAUACUGUCACUGCAAAAAGGAGCUGCCUAACCCCAAAUCAUAUCAAUGAGUGAGAACAAAGUCACAACAACAGGACUUCAGACAGUUUAUGUUUACUUUUAGUUUCGUUACCAUUAUUAUUAUUGUUGCACUUUAAUAAACAAUGCCUUAAUGCAGUUUGCAGUGAUGAAAUGUUGUAGUUCAAGUCCACUUUCACACUUGAGCUGCAAUGGGCUGAGCAAUGUCUGGUGUGGUGGGGCCAGGUGUGAUGGGG
rnacentral:lncRNA from 15 species